rnacentral:tRNA from 1 species
GUUUUUAUAGUUGAAUUAACAACGGUGAUUUUUCAGGUCAUUAGUUCUGGUUAGAACCCAGAUAGAAAUA